rnacentral:rRNA from 1 species
AAGGAUUCCCCUAGUAACGGCGAGUGAAGUGGGAAAAGCUCAACUUUAAAAUCUGGCAGCUUCGCUGUCCGAGUUGUAGUCUCGAGAAGUGUUUUCCGCGCUGGAUCGUGUAUGAGUCUGUUGGAAUACAGCGUCAUAGAGGGUGAGAACCCCGUUCAUGACACGACUACCAGUGCUUUGUGAUACACUUUCGAUGAGUCGAGUUGUUUGGGAAUGCAGCUCAAAAUGGGUGGUAAAUUCCAUCUAAAGCUAAAUAUUGGCGAGAGACCGAUAGCAAACAAGUACCGUGAGGGAAAGAUGAAAAGCACUUUGGAAAGAGAGUUAACAGUACGUGAAAUUGUCGAAAGGGAAACGCUUGAAGUCAGACGUGCGCGGUGCGAUUCAGCCUUGGUUCGCCAGGGUGUACUUCGUACCAUUGCAGGCCAGCAUCGGUUUUGUGAGCCGGAUAAAGGUUAGAGGAAGGUAGCGGUCCAGGCCGUGUUAUAGCCUCUAACUGAAUACGGAUUGUGAGACCGAGGGACGCAGCGCGCCGCAAGGCAAAGGGUCCGCCCUUUUCGCGCUUAGGAUGCUGGUGAAAUGGCUUUAAACGACCCGUCUUGAAACACGGACCAAGGAGUCUAACAUGCUUGCGAGUGUUUGGGUGUCAAACCCACACGCGUAAUGAAAGUGAAUGGAGGUGGGAUCCUUUACCGGAGCACCAUCGACCGAACCGGAUUUUUAAUGAUGGUUUUGAGUAAGAGCACGUAUGUUGGGACCCGAAAGAU